rnacentral:rRNA from 1 species
GACGAACGCUGGCGGCGUGCUUAACACAUGCAAGUCGAGCGGUAAGGCCCUUUCGGGGGUACGACGAGCGGCGAACGGGUGAGUAACACGUGGGUGACCUGCCUUUAGUCUCUGGGAGUAAGCCUGGGAAACCGGGGUACUAAUACCGGAUAUGACUCCGCGGCGCAUGUUGUGGGGUGGAAAGCCUUGUGCGGCCGGAGAUGGGCCCGCGGCCUAUCAGCUUGUUGGUGGGGUGAUGGCCUACCAAGGCGACGACGGGUAGCCGGCCUGAGAGGGCGACCGGCCACACUGGGACUGAGACACGGCCCAGACUCCUACGGGAGGGCAGCAGUGGGGAAGUCUUGCGCAAUGGGCGAAAGCCUGACGCAGCGACGCCGCGUGAGGGAUGACGGCC